rnacentral:rRNA from 1 species
CAUCUAUACAGUGAAACUGCGAAUGGCUCAUUAAAUCAGUUAUCGUUUAUUUGAUAGUACCUUACUACUUGGAUAACCGUGGUAAUUCUAGAGCUAAUACAUGCUAAAAAUCCCGACCCCUGGAAGGGAUGUAUUUAUUAGAUAAAAAACCAAUGCCUCCGGGCUCCUUGGUGAUUCAUGAUAACUUAACGAAUCGCAUGGCCUUGCGCCGGCGAUGGUUCAUUCAAAUUUCUGCCCUAUCAAGUUUCGAUGGUAGGAUAGUGGCCUACCAUGCUUUCAACGGGUAACGGGGAAUUAGGGUUCUAUUCCGGAGAGGGAGCCUGAGAAACGGCUACCACAUCCAAGGAAGGCAGCAGGCGCGCAAAUUACCCAAUCCCGACACGGGGAGGUAGUGACAAUAAAUACUGAUACAGGGCUCUUUGUGGUCUUGUAAUUGGAAUGAGUACGAUCUAAAAACUCUAACGAGGAACAAUUGGAGGGCAAGUCUGGUGCCAGCAGCCGCGGUAAUUCCAGCUCCAAUAGCGUAUAUUAAAGUUGUUGCAGUUAAAAAGCUCGUAGUUGAACCUUGGGCCGGGGUGGUGGGUCCGCCUCACCGCGUGCACUCGCCCGCUCUGGCCUUUCCUUCUGGCAAACCCCAUGCCCUUCACUGGGUGUGGCGGGGAACCAGGACUUUUACUUUGAAAAAAUUAGAGUGUUCAAAGCAGGCAUAUGCUCGAAUACAUUAGCAUGGAAUAAUAGAAUAGGACGUGUGGUUCUAUUUUGUUGGUUUCUAGGACCACCGUAAUGAUUAAUAGGGAUAGUCGGGGGCAUCCGUAUUCAACUGUCAGAGGUGAAAUUCUUGGAUUUGUUGAAGACGAACUACUGCGAAAGCAUUUGCCAAGGAUGUUUUCAUUAAUCAGGAACGAAAGUUGAGGGAUCGAAGACGAUCAGAUACCGUCGUAGUCUCAACCAUAAACUAUGCCGACUAGGGGCCGGGCGACGUUCUUAUUUUGACCCGCUCGGAACCUUACGAGAAAUC